UCCCUGGUGGUUCAGUUAUUAGGAUUCAGAACUUUCACUGCUGAGAGCCCGGGUUCAAUUCCUGGUGGGGGGA
rnacentral:tRNA from 1 species